rnacentral:rRNA from 1 species
CAGUAGCCGCGGGAAUACGAAGGGGGCUAGCGUUGCUCGGAAUGACUGGGCGUAAAGGGCGCGUAGGCGGCGGCCAAAGUCAGGCGUGAAAUUCCCGGGCUCAACCUGGGGGCUGCGUUUGAUACUUGGUUGCUUGAGUGGGGAAGAGGGUCGUGGAAUUCCCAGUGUAGAAGCGAAAUUCGUAGAUAUUGGGAAGAACACCGGUGGCGAAGGCGGCGACCUGGUCCUUUACUGACGCUGAGGCGCGAAAGCGUGGGGAGCAAACAGGAUUAGAUACCCCCGUAGUCCCUGUCUCUUAUAC